rnacentral:rRNA from 1 species
CGAAGGAUGCAAGCGUUAUCCGGACUCAUUGGGUUUAAAGGGAGCGUAGGUGGACUGAUAAGUCAGUGGUGAAAUCUUCGAGCUUAACUCGGAAAUUGCCAUUGAUACUGUUGGUCUUGAGUACAGUUGCUGUGGGCGGAAUAUGACAUGUAGUGGUGAAAUACAUAGAGAUGUCAUAGAACACCGAUUGCGAAGGCAGCUCACAAAGCUGUAACUGACACUGAGGCUCGAAAGUGCGGGGAUCAAACAGGAUUAGAUACCCUGGUAGUCCGCACCGUAAACGAUGAUUACUCGCUGCUAGAUGGCAACAUUUAGUGGCUUAGCGAAAGCGAUAAGUAAUCCACCUGGGGAGUACGCCGGCAACGGUG